CCUACGGGAGGCUGCAGUGAGGAAUAUUGGUCAAUGGACGCAAGUCUGAACCAGCCAUGCCGCGUGCAGGAAGACGGCUCUAUGAGUUGUAAACUGCUUUUGUACGAGGGUAAAUCCCGAUACGUGUAUCGGGUUGAAAGUAUCGUACGAAUAAGGAUCGGCUAACUCCGUGCCAGCAGCCGCGGUAAUACGGAGGAUUCAAGCGUUAUCCGGAUUUAUUGGGUUUAAAGGGUGCGUAGGCGGUUCGGUAAGUUAGAGGUGAAAUCUCGGGGCUCAACUCGGGCACUGCCGUUGAUACGGGCAGGCUAGAGUACAGUAGAGGUAGGCGGAAUGUGUGGUGUAGCGGUGAAAUGCAGAGAGAUCAUGCAGAACACCGAUUGCGAAGGCAGCUUACCGAACUGCGACUGACGUUGAGGCACGAAAGCGUGGGGAUCAAACAGGAUUAGAUACCCGGGUAGUC
rnacentral:rRNA from 1 species